ACCGACUGCUAUUUGGGUGAGAAUAAGCCAUGCGAGUUGAAUGGGAUACCUAAAGUUCCCAUAGCAAACUGCUCAGUAACACAUGAUCAACUUACCCUAUAGAGAAAAAUAACCUCGGGAAACUGAGGAUAAUGUUUCAUAGUUGAAUAGGCUUGGAAAAGUUUUUCAAUGAAAGGGAUAAGAAAAAUGGUUCUUAUCUGCCAUAGGAUAGGAUCGUGCCCGAUUAUGGUUGUUGGUGAGGUAACGGCUCACCAAGCCGGUAAUCGAUAGGGGCCGUGAGAGCGGGAGCCCCAAGAUGGGUACUGAGACAGCGACCCAGGCCUUACGAGGCGCAACAGGUACGAAACCUCCGCAAUACACGAAAGUGUGACGGGGUUACCCAAAGUGUUCUUAUUGAACUGUGGCAGGUGAGUAAUGUCCCCUGCUAGAAAGGAGAGGGCAAGGCUGGUGCCAGCCGCCGCGGUAAAACCAGCUCUUCAAGUGGUCGGGAUAAUUAUUGGGCUUAAAGUGUCCGUAGCCGGUUUAGUAAGUCUCCUGUUAAAUUCAGCGACCUAAUCGUUGAGCCGCGGGAGAUACUACUAGGCUAGGAGGCGGGAGAGGUCGACGGUACUUCCGGGGUAGGGGUGAAAUCCUAUAAUCCCGGGCGGACCACCAGUGGCGAAGGCUGUCGACUAGAACGCGCUCGACGGUGAGGGACGAAAGCUGGGGGAGCGAACCGGAUUAGAUACCCGGGUAGUCCCAGCCGUAAACGAUGCGGGCUAGGUGUGGGGGUGGCUACGUGCCACUUCAGCGCCGCAGGGAAGCCAUUAAGCCCGCCGCCUGGGGAGUACGGCCGCAAGGCUGAAACCUAAAGGAAUUGGCGGGGGAGCACCAUAAGGCGUGAAGCUUGCGGUUC
rnacentral:rRNA from 1 species